CUGCCCCUAGUACGAGAGGACCGGGGUGGACGGACCUCUGGUGUAUCAGUUGUCCUGCCAUGGGCACAGCUGAGUAGCUACGUCCGGAAAGGAUAAGCGCUGAAAGCAUCUAAGCGCGAAGCCUACUUCAAGAUAAGGUCUCCCUUUCCUUCAAGGAAGUAAGAUCCCAGGAAGACGACCUGGUUGAUAGGCCGGAGGUAUAAGGAUGGUAACAUCUUCAGCCGACCGGUACUAAUUGAUCGAGAGGCUUAACCUCU
rnacentral:rRNA from 1 species